GGAUCCAAUGACGAAUGGCAAGUCAAUCGGCUGUAACCCGACGCGAAAGCAACUAGGUUCGAUUCCUAGUGGAUCCAC
rnacentral:tRNA from 1 species